GAUGAACGCUAGCUACAGGCUUAACACAUGCAAGUCGAGGGGUAACGAGAGGGAAGCUUGCUUUCCUUGUCGACGACCGGCGCACGGGUGAGUAACGCGUAUCCAACCUGCCCCCAACUAGGGAAUAACCUUGCGAAAGUAAGACUAAUACCCUAUAAUUUCCUCAGAUGUCAUCUGACGAGGAAUAAAGAUUUAUCGGUUGUGGAUGGGGAUGCGUCUGAUUAGCUUGUUGGCGGGGUAACGGCCCACCAAGGAAACGAUCAGUAGGGGUUCUGAGAGGAAGGUCCCCGACAUUGGAACUGAGACACGGUCCAAACUCCUACGGGAGGCAGCAGUGAGGAAUAUUGGUCAAUGGGCGGAAGCCUGAACCAGCCAAGUAGCGUGCAGGAUGACGGCCCUAUGGGUUGUAAACUGCUUUUAUACAGGAAUAAAGUUAGCCACGUGUGGUUAUUUGUAGGUACUGUAUGAAUAAGGACCGGCUAAUUCCGUGCCAGCAGCCGCCGUAA
rnacentral:rRNA from 1 species